rnacentral:rRNA from 1 species
UUGAAAGGGAAACGAUUGAAGUCAGUCGUGCGGGCGCGUAAUCAACCUACGAUUUGUCAAACAAGUAGUGUGGUGAGCCUCAAAACCGCCAUAUUAUUUGUCUGGUUAAUCGUCGGUGCGCUUUCCCGUUGUCGGCUGGUUAACAUCAAUUUCAAAUGUCAUAAAUUGGCUGGAGGGAUGUGGCUCCUUCGGGAGUGUUAUAACCUUUAGCGGAAUGGUGGUGUUUGGGAUUGAGGAUUGCAACGAAUACCUUUAGGGCUGUUCCACCUGGUCUCUCUUUGGCAUCUUGGCGGCGACAGCUUGCUGACGUUGUUAAGAGUUGACAUUGAACAGGCUAGAGUGUGAGCAAAUUCGUUAAGGAUGUUGACGUA